UACGGAGGGUGCAAGCGUUGUUCGGAUUUACUGGGCGUAAAGCGCGCUCAGGUGGGUGAACAAGUCGGAAGUGAAAUCUUGAGGCUCAACCUCGAGGCUGCUCCCGAAACUGUUCGCCUAGGGACUGGUAGAGGCUGGUAGAAUUCCCGGUGUAGCGGUGGAAUGCGUAGAGAUCGGGAAGAAUACCUGUGGCGAAGGCGGCCAGCUGGGCCAGAUCCGACACUGAGGCGCGAAAGCGUGGGGAGCAAACAGG
rnacentral:rRNA from 1 species